UACAUGGGGUGCAAACGUUGCUCGGAAUUAUUGGGCGUAAAGCGCGCGUAGGCGGUUGUCUAAGUUGGAUGUGAAAGCCCUCGGCUUAACUGAGGAAGUGCACCCAAAACUGGACAGCUGGAGUACGAAAGAGGGUCGCGGAAUUCCCGGUGUAGAGGUGAAAUUCGUAGAUAUCGGGAGGAACACCGGUGGCGAAGGCGGCGACCUGGGUCGAGACUGACGCUGAGGCGCGAAAGCGUGGGG
rnacentral:rRNA from 1 species